GACGAACGCUGGCGGCGUGCUUAACACAUGCAAGUCGAACGGAAAGGCCCUGCUUUUGUGGGGUGCUCGAGUGGCGAACGGGUGAGUAACACGUGAGUAACCUGCCCUUGACUUUGGGAUAACUUCAGGAAACUGGGGCUAAUACCGGAUAGGAGCCCCUGCUGCAUGGUGGGGGUUGGAAAGUUUCGGCGGUUGGGGAUGGACUCGCGGCUUAUCAGCUUGUUGGUGGGGUAGUGGCUUACCAAGGCUUUGACGGGUAGCCGGCCUGAGAGGGUGACCGGCCACAUUGGGACUGAGAUACGGCCCAGACUCCUACGGGAGGCAGCAGUGGGGAAUAUUGCACAAUGGGCGGAAGCCUGAUGCAGCAGCGCCGCGUGCGGGAUGACGGCCUUCGGGUUGUAAACCGCUUUCGCCUGUGACGAAGCGUGAGUGACGGUAAUGGGUAAAGAAGCACCGGCUAACUACGUG
rnacentral:rRNA from 1 species